rnacentral:tRNA from 1 species
GCUCCAUUAGCUCAGGGGUGAGAGCGCCCGUCUUAUAUGCGGGUGGUCGGUGGUUCGAUUCCAUCAUGGAGUA